GUUGGGAAGAGGGAGCUUCGCAUGUCUAAAGAAUAUAUAUUUGGAAUGUUGCCCGAAGCUCAUCUACUUCUUCUCUUCAAGCAUUCGGUUACAAAAUCUCAAAUUACUUGCAAUAAAAUUCUGUUGUAGACUGGAGAAGGUUUUUGAAGAAGACAAUGUAGCAGGGCAAAAUGCAUUUCCACAGCUAGUUGAUUUACGUCUUUGGGAGCUACGCAAGCUAAAAAGCAUUUGUGGUGGGCACUUGCCGAUGCUGAAGAAGUUGAAGAUUCGAGGAUGCCCUAUGCUGGAGAAGCUUCCUCUCAAUAACACAAAUGAUUCUGCAGCAGAAGUCGAGAUCCAAGGUGAGCUGAAAUGGUGGGAAAGCAUAAAAUGGGAGGGCAGCAUCAAGCCACGCAACAUCCAUUUCAAAGAAAGGCGUCCAUAACCAAGGUGGUUGCUAUUGCUAUGCCUGUUUGCUUCAGUCGCUGCAGGCGCUCCUGGUUUUGCAGGACAUGUCUUUAUCCUUCAACCUCCCUGCGCGCUUUCUUGAAGACUCCGCAAUUUUAUCUGUGCCUCCACCUCCGAUUUUUGCAAAGUCAUUAUUAUGAUUGGGAAGGAAGGCGGUAAAGGCUAUUGGAAAGGCAAUCUACCACAGGUGACACAGAGAAUUUCAUAUAGUGCCAUGCAGCUGUUUGCUUAU